UAGUCAUAUGCUUGUCUCAAAGAUUAAGCCAUGCAUGUCUAAGUAUAAACAACUUUAUACUGUGAAACUGCGUACAGCUCAUUAUAUCAGUUAUUAUUUAUUUGAUGGUACCUUACUACAUGGAUAACCGUAGUAAUUCUAGAGCUAAUACAUGCGUAAAGACCCGACCUUCCGGAAGGGUUGUAUUUAUUAGAUAAAAAACCAAUGCCAAUUUAUUGGCUUUUAUGGUGACUCAUAGUAACUGUUCGAAUCGCAGACUUGUUCGGCGAUAGUUCAUUCAAAUUUCUGCUCUAUCAGCUUCAGACGGUAGUGUAGUGGACUACCGUGGCGUUAACGGGUGACGGAGAAUUAGGGUUCGAUUCCGGAGAGAGAGACUGAGAAACGACUACCACAUCCAAGGAAG
rnacentral:rRNA from 1 species